rnacentral:rRNA from 1 species
AGUGAACGCUGGCGGUAGGCCUAACACAUGCAAGUCGAACGGCAGCACAGUAAGAGCUUGCUCUUACGGGUGGCGAGUGGCGGACGGGUGAGGAAUACAUCGGAAUCUACUUUUUCGUGGGGGAUAACGUAGGGAAACUUACGCUAAUACCGCAUACGACCUACGGGUGAAAGCAGGGGAUCUUCGGGCCUUGCGCGAUUGAAUGAGCCGAUGUCGGAUUAGCUAGUUGGCGGGGUAAAGGCCCACCAAGGCGACGAUCCGUAGCUGGUCUGAGAGGAUGAUCAGCCACACUGGAACUGGGACACGGUCCAGACUCCUACGGGAGGCAGCAGUGGGGAAUAUUGGACAAUGGGCGCAAGCCUGAUCCAGCCAUACCGCGUGGGUGAAGAAGGCCUUCGGGUUGUAAAGCCCUUUUGUUGGGAAAGAAAAGCAGCAGGUUAAUACCCCGCUGUUCUGACGGUACCCAAAGAAUAAGCACCGGCUAACUUCGUG